AGCAACAUGUUCUUUGGUGACACAAGGAAAGCUGCACGACAGGUCCUGGCUGUAGGUAGGGCAGCUCCAGGGUUCAGCUCCCUGGCACACACACCACUAACCCUCAGAUAAGCUGGUGUCCUGCCUGUGUUCCUUGGCUCUGCCACACAGUGCUGCCAGGAGAACUUGUGGUUUGUGACAUCAGCACCCCCACCUGCCCGGGCAGUCCAGUUUUGGAACAGCAGCGUUCCAAAACAGCCUGGAGACAGCGAGGCCCACCAGUGAAUCAUAAGCACUUGUGUUCUGCAGAUGACUCUUCCACUGGGACGGGAUCAGAUCUACCCCUAAUGGAUGUAUUUGCUGUGCAGAAAAUGGUGUCCUGAGAAUGUGCCAUAGCAUGUCAGGCUGGUAUCAGCUCAGCUGGAGAGUGGAAUGGUUCCAAAUUACCACAGUAUUGAGAUGGAAGGGCUGACAGCACAAGACAGAGAUCAGGAAGUGGUUAAGCUCCACCACAAAGGACAGCGUAAGGUCCAAGUUCUGUAAGAGCUUCUGUCAGAGCUGUAUCUAUUUUCAACAGUAGGUUAUCCAAGGACAAACUCCAGGUUUAUGGAAGAAGAAGUAAGCUUUGUUCACCUCAUUGCCUACUGAGCUGUGUGGCUAUAAUGAUCCAGCAAGAGCUGUAAAUACAUGGAAAGUAAGUUCUGAGUAACUAUCCCUUCUCCUGAAAAGCAAAUACUGGAAAAAGGAGGAUGGCAGCUGCAGUUUCCACAGUCCAAAGCCUCCCUCAUGCCCAAAAGGAAAAGUAUUCAGCCGUCUCUAGUUCCUCAUUGUGCACUGUGAGAUUUUCCAGCUUUUUCUUGAAGAAUUGUUGCAAACAAGAUUCAUUUUUACAGAUUAACCCCUGAUUUCCACCUCCACUAGCUUUUCCAUAGUCUCUUUUCAGAGAAGUAUUUAAACACAUACCUAAAUUUCAGCGCUGCUGCCCAGGCAGAUGCUUAAAUGAAUGGCCAGUUCAUCAGGUACUGUGAGGUGUGUUUCUGCUUAUGGUCCUGAUCUGGCAGACAAAGGGGGAAAGAAAAGCUGAGAAGAUGAGUUGCAUUAGAGAUCUGCAAAAACACAGAGUGUGAAGGGCUGCCCUGCAGCCACUCUGGCUCUUUCUCAGGUUAAAGACUUUAGUACUUGAAGAAAGCCACCUAACUUUAUAAAUGGGGGUUGCAAAGGCCUGUUGGGAUUCACUGAUUGAUUGCUGAGGAUUUGCUUCCUCAUCCAUUCAAAGCCCUUGUCUUGACCUGCUGCUCUGGUCUCACUCAAAUCAGAGACUACCUGUCCCUGCUUCACUUCUCUUACUAGGGGUGUAGACUUGCUGUAUGUAAAGGAAAUGUUUAGAAGGGUCCUUCCCUUUCAUGGGAACAAUUUGCAAGGACCAUUUAGGAGAAGGGCUUCAUAUACAAUUAAGUUGGUCUGCAAGCAUUUUAAAAAUUUGAACCUAGUGGGCAUCAAAAGCUAGUGGUCUUACUCACCCUUGCUGUGAAAUGCAAGUUCAGGGCUCAGCUUUAGAUCUGGAAUUUGAAAGCUGUUCCCAGCAUUCAGCUCCAUCUAUACAGUUAUGAGUCACACUUGAAGGAAUUAGGGUUUUUUCCCAAAACUGGCAUUUUUUUCCCAAGACCUUUGUAAAUUCCUGGACGAGCACAGAAAUGGGUAAAAUUGGAACUUGGGGUCAUAUUCCUCUCCCUACCACAUCUUGCAACACUUCUUCUAUGCAUCUUAAAAGUAGUACAGCUUUUUCAAAGUUAAAUCUCGCAACAUGGUCCACAACAGGGAACACUUAAGUGUUUACUUAAAAUUGUCAAUUUUUUUUUAUAUGGUUUACUAUUGCUAGUCUCAGCUUUUCGAAAAUUUUGACAGAGACCUCA